rnacentral:miRNA from 1 species
UGUAUGUAGGCAUAUGUAUAUGCAUUCAUGGAUGUGUUUGUGUAUGUGGGCAUGUACAUAUACAUAUACAUAAACAUAUACACACA